CCGUAACUAUAACGGUCCUAAGGUAGCGAAAUUCCUUGUCGGGUAAGUUCCGACCUGCACGAAUGGCAUAAUGAUGGCCAGGCUGUCUCCACCCGAGACUCAGUGAAAUUGAAAUCGCCGUGAAGAUGCGGUGUACCCGCGGCUAGACGGAAAGACCCCGUGAACCUUUACUAUAGCUUGACACUGAACAUUGAAUUUUGAUGUGUAGGAUAGGUGGGAGACUUUGAAGUAGUCACGCCAGUGAUUAUGGAGUCGUCCUUGAAAUACCACCCUUUAACGUUUGAUGUUCUAACGAAGAUUACGAAACGUGGUCUCGGACAGUGUCUGGUGGGUAGUUUGACUGGGGCGGUCUCCUCCCAAAGAGUAACGGAGGAGCACGAAGGUUUGCUAAUGACGGUCGGACAUCGUCAGGUUAGUGCAAUGGUAUAAGCAAGCUUAACUGCGAGACAGACAAGUCGAGCAGGUACGAAAGUAGGUCAUAGUGAUCCGGUGGUUCUGAAUGGAAGGGCCAUCGCUCAACGGAUAAAAGGUACUCCGGGGAUAACAGGCUGAUACCGCCCAAGAGUUCAUAUCGACGGCGGUGUUUGGCACCUCGAUGUCGGCUCAUCACAUCCUGGGGCUGAAGUAGGUCCCAAGGGUAUGGCUGUUCGCCAUUUAAAGUGGUACGCGAGCUGGGUUUAGAACGUCGUGAGACAGUUCGGUCCCUAUCUGCCGUGGGCGUUGGAGAAUUGAUUGGGGCUGCUCCUAGUACGAGAGGACCGGAGUGGACGCACCACUGGUGUUCCGGUUGUGUCGCCAGACGCAUUGCCGGGUAGCUAAGUGCGGAAGAGAUAAGUGCUGAAAGCAUCUAAGCACGAAACUUGCCAAGAGAUGAGUUCUCCCAGAUUACAAAUCUGUAAGGGUUGUUUAAGACUAAGACGUAGAUAGGUCUGGUGUGUAAGCGGUGCGAGCCGUUGAGCUAACAGAUACUAAUUGCCCGAGAGGCUUAACUAU
rnacentral:rRNA from 1 species